rnacentral:rRNA from 1 species
GUGGGGAAUCUUAGACAAUGGGCGCAAGCCUGAUCUAGCCAUGCCGCGUGAGCGAUGAAGGCCUUAGGGUUGUAAAGCUCUUUCGUGGGGGAAGAUAAUGACUGUACCCCAAGAAGAAGCCCCGGCUAACUCCGUGCCAGCAGCCGCGGUAAUACGGAGGGGGCUAGCGUUGUUCGGAAUUACUGGGCGUAAAGCGCACGUAGGCGGACUGGAAAGUCAGGGGUGAAAUCCCGGGGCUCAACCCCGGAACUGCCUUGGAAACUCCCAGUCUUGAGUUCGAGAGAGGUGAGUGGAAUUCCGAGUGUAGAGGUGAAAUUCGUAGAUAUUCGGAGGAACACCAGUGGCGAAGGCGGCUCACUGGCUCGAUACUGACGCUGAGGUGCGAAAGCGUGGGGAGCAAACAGGAUUAGAAACCCUGGUAGUCC